ACUCAAUUCUAUCAUUUCCUUCUGUUCAUAUGUGAAUCUAAUUGUUUUUCAUUAUCUGUGGAUGACAUAAAUAAUGAAACUUUGCAGUAUGUUGCUACUUUACAAGAACAGUUGGAACAACUGGCUGAAGAAAGAAAUCCAGAUGGUUUACUUAGAGUUUCAAAGGCUAAGGUGAAUGAUUAUUCAGAGAAGAUUGAAGCCAUUGCUUCCAGAAUAGCUGCCCCAUUGCCUUAUAUUCAGGUAUCUGGAGAGUCUUUUGCUGGGAGUUCUGCAAAAGAAAGUCCUAAAGCAGAUGGAGAAACUUAAUUCCCCUCUUCUCUGGGCUUGAGAAGAAGAUUUGUGGCAGCCUCAAAUAUUGAUGGCAGAAAUUAUGACCUUAAUCAGGUUCAUACAUCAGCACCUGUCAAACUAGAUACUGCAGCAAAAGCACACAUUGAAAAGCACAGAAAGCUUCAGGAGGACUUGACAGAUGAAAUGGUUGGGUUGGCACGUCAACUUAAGGAAAAUAGUCUCCAUACGAGCCAGUCUCUGCAAAAUACUGAAAAGAUACUUGAUUCUACAGAGAAGGCUGUUGAGCAGAGCUUGGCUAGAACUAGCCGUGCCAAUGCACAAGCCUUGGAGAUAUACUCAAAAACUUCCAAGACCACAUGCUUUACAUGGCUUGUGAUUUUUCUAAUGACAUGUAUUUUCAUCAUGGUUGUACUCCUAAUUCGCAUCACUUGA